AACGAACGCUGGCGGCAUGCCUAACACAUGCAAGUCGAACGAGACCUUCGGGUCUAGUGGCGCACGGGUGCGUAACGCGUGGGAACCUGCCCUUAGGUUCGGAAUAACUCCCCGAAAGGGGUGCUAAUACCGGAUAAUGUCUUCGGACCAAAGAUUUUUCGCGUUUGGAUGGGCCCGCGUUGGAUUAGCUAGUUGGUAGGGUAAAAGCCUACCAAGGCGACGAUCCAUAGCUGGUCUGAGAGGAUGAUCAGCCACACUGGGACUGAGACACGGCCCAGACUGCGACGGGAGGGAGCAGUGGGGAAUAUUGGACAAUGAGCGAAAGCCUGAUCCAGCAAUGCCGCGUGAGUGAUGAAGGCCUUAGGGUUGUAAAGCUCUUUUACCCGGGAUGAUAAUGACAGUACCGGGAGAAUAAGCACCGGCUAACUCCGUG
rnacentral:rRNA from 1 species